GGGUUUUCCCAAUGGGCACUGGUCAAUUUUUUGGACUCAUAAUCCUUUGGUCCACGGUUCAAGUCCGUGUGGGCCCACCA
rnacentral:tRNA from 1 species